rnacentral:lncRNA from 1 species
GGGGGUGGUCGGCCAUCGUAAAAACUCGGGUGGAGUCUGGUUAUCGUAAAAACCACAUUGUCGGGGAAGCUCGGAUGCCAGCGAAGCCCGGGAGAAGUUCGGGGUAGAAACUCAAAGGGUCGGUUGCUGUAGAAGGCUGGCAGACAGUGGGUCCCAGAGGGCCUUUGGGGUGGCCCGAUGGAUGAAUGUAGAAGUUCACUAUCGGAGAAGUUUGGAUGAUUGAGGAGGUUCGGAGAGGCGCCAUGCACAAGAUCGGGAGCCGGAAGAGCCCUGGAA